GUCCCUGGAAGGUUCUGUUUUCCGCCAGCCAUUCAAAUCUUCAGUGCGACUAGAUACCUUCUGGACACACCAGUCUUUCUUCACUAACUGCAUGGACCCAGGGCAACACUGGCACUAUCUGCACCAAGUUGCUCCAGGAGCCCAUACUGUGUGCUUCAGUCUACCCAAGAGGAACAAAGACGGAUGA
rnacentral:lncRNA from 1 species